GGGGAACACACAUGGAUGCUCUCAUCUGUGGAGGUGAACCUUGAUAGUUCCAAGAAGAAAAAGAAGAAAAGGAAAAAAAGAAGAGAAAAAGAAACAGAAGAAAUCGAAGAAGAGCAAGAAACAUGACACGUCAUCCUCAAGCAGUAGCAGUGAAGAUGAAGGGGCAUGGGUUGAAAAAUCUACUCCCACAGCUUCUCUCACCUCGUCGGUUAA